rnacentral:rRNA from 1 species
GGACAACCUGCCCUCGGAGAGGGGGAUAACCCCGGGAAAACUGGGGCUAAACCCCCAUAGGUGAUGGAUACUGGAAUGUUCCAUCACCGAAAGUCCGCAAGGAGCCCGAGGAUGGGUCUGCGGCGGAUUAGGUAGUUGGUGGGGUAACGGCCCACCAAGCCUAAGAUCCGUACGGGCCAUGGGAGUGGGAGCCCGGAGAUGGACCCUGAGACAAGGGUCCAGGCCCUACGGGGCGCAGCAGGCGCGAAACCUCCGCAAUGCGGGAAACCGCGACGGGGUCAGCCGGAGUGCCGAUGCUUGCAUCGGCUGUCGGGGAGCCUAAAAAGCUCCCCAUAGCAAGGGCCGGGCAAGGCCGGUGGCAGCCGCCGCGGUAAUACCGGCGGCCCGAGUGGCGGCCACUAUUAUUGGGCUUAAAGCGUCCGUAGCCGGGUUGGUUAGUCUCCCGGGAAAUCUGGCCGCUUAACGGUCAGAAUUCCGGGAGAUACUGCCAGCCUAGGGACCGGGAGAGGCCGAGGGUAUUCCCGGAGUAGGGGUGAAAUCCUAUAAUCCCGGGAGGACCACCUGUGGCGAAGGCGCUCGGCUGGAACGGGUCCGACGGUGAGGGACGAAGGCCAGGGGAGCAAACCGGAUUAGAUACCCGGGUAGUCCUGGCUGUAAACGAUGCGGACUUUGUGUCGGACAAGCUAUGAGCUUGUCCGGUG